GACGAACGCUGGCGGCGUGGAUUAGGCAUGCAAGUCGAACGGUAUCAUCCUUUCGGGGGUGAGAGAGUGGCGAACUGGUGAGUAACACGUAGGUUAUCUACCCUCCAAGACGGGGACGAACCCAGGGAAACUUGGGCUAAUACCGGGUGUGAGCAACUUUUAGUUGUUUGAAAGGUGGCGUAAGCUGUCGCUUGGGGAUGAGCCUGCGUCCUAUUAGUUAGUUGGUGAGGUAACGGCUCACCUAGGCAAUGAUAGGUAGGCGGCCUUAACGGGUGGUCGCCCACACUGGGAUUGAGAUACGGCCCAGACUCCUACGGGAGGCAGCAGUCGAGAAUAGUCUACAAUGGUCGGAAGACUGAUAGUGCGACGCCGCGUGAACGAUGAAUCCCUUCGGGGUGUAAAGUUCUUUUAUAUGUGAGCAGUGCUUCUUAUAUUAACAGUAUGGGGAGAGAGAUAUUAGCAUAUGAAUAAGCAACGGCUAACUCCGUGCCAGCAGCCGCGGUAAUCUCGU
rnacentral:rRNA from 1 species